GACCUGGUGGCGAAUGGUAUCGCACCCUUACUUUGUCUAGUGGUCGCACAAGUACUCAGCGGGAGAGCUGGUUCGAAUCCAGCCCGGGUCC